ACGAACGCUGGCGGCAUGGCUAAGACAUGCAAGUCGUACGGGACUUGUAGCAAUACGAGUCUAGUGGCGGAAGGGUGAGUAAUGAAUGGGUAACGUACCUUGGAGUCGGGAACAACAGUCCGAAAGGAUUGCUAAUUGCCCGAUGAAGUCGUUGGAUCGCCUGAUUUGACGACCAAAGCCGGGGAUCGCAAGACCUGGCGCUCUUGGAGCGGCCCAUUUCCUAUCAGCUAGUUGGUGAGGUAACGGCUCACCAAGGCUUUGACGGGUAGCCGGACUGAGAGGUCGGCCGGCCACAUCGGGACUGAGACACUGCCCGGACACCUACGGGUGGCUGCAGUAACGAAUAUUGGGCAAUGGGCGCAAGCCUGACCCAGCAAUGCCGCGUGCAGGAUGAAGCCCCUCGGGGUGUAAACUGCUUUUAGGGUUCAACAAGCAAUACGGGUGAAACAAUCCGUAAAGUUGAGUAGACCCAGAAAAAGCCUCGGCUAACUCUGUGCCAGCAGCCGCGGUAAGACAGAGGAGGCAAGCGUUGUUCGGAAUUACUGGGCUUAAAGCGCGCGUAGGCGGCUCGGAAAAGUGUCCUGUGAAAUCCCGUCGCUCAACGACGGAACUGCGGGGCAAACUCCCGGGCUUGAGGUUGGUAGAGGUGCCUGGAACUCUAGGUGGAGCGGUGAAAUGCGUAGAUGUCUAGAGGAACGCCAGAAGCGAAAGCGGGGCACUGGGCCAAUUCUGACGCUGAUGCGCGAAAGCGUGGGGAGUAAACAGGAUUAGAUACCCUGGUAGUCCACGCCGUAAACGAUGCACACUAGGUGCCGGAGGCUCUGACGCCGUCGGCGCCGCAGCAAAAGUGCUAAGUGUGCCGCCUGGGGAGUACGGCCGCAAGGCUAAAACUCAAAGGAAUUGACGGGGGCUCACACAAGCGGUGGAGCAUGUGGCUCAAUUCGAAGCAACGCGAAGAACCUUACCCGGGUUUGACAUGGUUGGAUGCUCUCUGUGGAUAACUCAGAGAGUUACCCUUCGGGGUGAAACUUCCACAGGUGUUGCAUGGCUGUCGUCAGCUCGUGCUGUGAAGUGUUCGGGUUAAGUCCCUUAACGAGCGAAACCCCUAUCGUUAGUUUACCAUCAGGUCAUGCUGGGGACUCUAGCGAGACUGCCGGCGUUAAGCCGGAGGAAGGCGGGGAUGACGUCAAGUCAUCAUAGCCUUUAUGCCCGGGGAUGCACACGUGCUACAAUGGCAUGUACAAAGCGACGCAAGACCGCGAGGUGGAGCAAAUCGCAAAAAACAUGCCCCAGUUCGGAUUAGAGUCUGCAAUUCGACUCCAUGAAGUUGGAAUCGCUGGUAAUCGCGCAUCAGCUACGGCGCGGUGAAUGUGUUCCUGAGCCUUGUACACACCGCCCGUCAAGUCAUGGGAGCUGGUAGUACCCGAAGUCCGCUUAGCUAACUGCAAAGAAGCGGCGGCCGACGGUAAGACCGGUGACUGGGACU
rnacentral:rRNA from 1 species